GGGCCCCUAGCUCAGCUGGUUAGAGCAGGCGACUCAUAAUCGCUGUGCCGUGGGUUCGAGUCCCACGGGGCCCACCA
rnacentral:tRNA from 1 species